AUAGCCUUUCGAAAGAAAGAUUAAUACCCGAUGGCAUAGUUCUUCCGCAUGGUGGAACUAUUAAAGAAUUUCGGUCAUCGAUGGGGGAUGCGUUCCAUUAGGUUGUUGGCGGGGUAACGGCCACCAAGCCUUCGAUGGAUAGGGGUUCUGAGAGGAAGGUCCCCCACAUUGGAACUGAGACACGGUCCAAACUCCUACGGGAGGCAGCAUG
rnacentral:rRNA from 1 species